rnacentral:sRNA from 1 species
CCUUCUGGGAUAUUGCCAGCAUUCUUUCCUGCCUCACUCACCUCCCUGAAUGACUUGGGCUUGAGAAUGUUUCUACAUGAUUUUUCUGAGCUUGCUGUCUUACCUGAGAGCAGGAAGUCAAAAGGAGAGUGAUGGAGCCACAUGCUGCCCUCUACUUUGCAGAUAUUAAAGAGGAGACUGAAACUGUUCCUUGGACAUCUUAUGAGUGUCAGAAAAUACCUUUUGGAGGGUUAGAAGAUCAGAGGACAUGGUUGUUCACAUUUGCUGCCAUGGAUCACCGCCAGUCUUCACUUGGAAACAGAAUCACACCUUGUGAAGAGAUCAUCCCUAAGCAGGAGAGAAGCUACUAAAGAUAUAAAGUAAAUGGAAUACAAUUUAAGCUUUCCUUGAGUCAACAAUCUUCUCACUAAAGAUCAAUUACUACAUUGUGCUGAAGUGGGGGAAAAGCCUCAAAAACUACUGCAAUAAACAAGGCCGAUCUGCUACUUCUCAUCACUGA